UCUCCUGUAGCUCAAUGGUAGAGCGCCUCGCUGUUAACGAGGAUGUUGUAGGUCCGAGUCCUACCGGGAGAGCCA
rnacentral:tRNA from 2 species